rnacentral:rRNA from 1 species
GUGUCAGCAGCCGCGGUAAUACGAAGGGUGCAAGCGUUACUCGGAAUUACUGGGCGUAAAGGGCGCGUAGGCGGAUGUCUAAGUUGGGGGUGAAAUCCCGGGGCUCAACCUCGGAACCGCCUUCAAUACUGGAUAUCUUGAGUUCGGGAGAGGUGAGUGGAAUGCCGAGUGUAGAGGUGAAAUUCGUAGAUAUUCGGCGGAACACCAGUGGCGAAGGCGACUCACUGGCCCGAUACUGACGCUGAGGCGCGAAAGCGUGGGGAGCAAACAGGAUUAGAAACCCUGGUAGUCC